ACGCACGCUGGCGGCGUGCUUAACACAUGCCAGUCGAACGGAAAGGCCUUUUCGGAGGUACUCGAGUGGCGAACGGGUGAGUAACACGUGGGUGAUCUGCCCUGCACUCUGGGAUAAGCCUGGGAAACUGGGUCUAAUACCGGAUAGGACCGCACUUUAGUGUGUGUGGUGGAAAGUUUUUUCGGUGUAGGAUGAGCCCGCGGCCUAUCAGCUUGUUGGUGGGGUAAUGGCCUACCAAGGCGGCGACGGGUAGCCGGACUGAGAGGUUGGUCGGCCACAUUGGGACUGAGAUACGGCCCAGACUCCUACGGGAGGCAGCAGUGGGGAAUAUUGCACAAUGGGCGCAAGCCUGAUGCAGCGACGCCGCGUGGGGGAUGACGGCCUUCGGGUUGUAAACUCCUUUCGCCAGGGACGAAGCGUUUUGUGACGGUACCUGGAGAAGAAGCACCGGCUAACUACGUG
rnacentral:rRNA from 1 species